rnacentral:lncRNA from 10 species
ACUUCCGCCGCGUCCAUGAUCUCCCGCGGCUUCUCCUGACUCUUGCGGCUGGCGCUGGCGCUGGGCAUCGGGACACGGAACUGGGCAGUGGACACCACCCUCCCUCGCAGGCUUCCAAAGUAAUUUGAAGGCCUUCCCUGACUUAAAGUGGAUGCUGCUUUGGAAAGCACUGGAAAAAUGGAUCCUGUCUUUCUUAGCCAAGGACUGGUCUCUUUUCUCCAAUGUGUCCCUAACAGAGUGGUGAGGCUGGCUCUUCCCACCAGUACAGGUAAUGUGGUAAAGAUAGGACCACGUGGACGAAGAGGUAUUACCUUCUCUAAUUACAGCUAACAAAGACCUAGGCCUAACCUCAACUGCACCUUCUGUCUCUGGGAAGUCACUUAUAGAGUAGACCUAUAAUUAGGAUUUGGUACCGGAAACAUAAUUCUCAGGAUGGUGAAUCUCUAAAUUAUGUCCCCAGAGACAUACCUGAGACAAAACCCUAAGGGCUGUUGGCCGUAAGAGGGUGUGUGUGGUAUUCUACAUUCAGUAGGGAUUUAUAAAUGAGGAUGAUAUCACUCA